ensembl:lncRNA
AAAUGGUUUUUUGGGCAGAAAACACCACUUAGUUUCACUUCAUCCAAACUCAUCCAUAAACACACACCAUCAUUUCCCAGGCUAGUCCACUGCUCUGUUGAAGAAAUCCACAAUGUUGCUGCUGAAGCCUCCUUCUGCUCUUUUUUUUUUUUUUUUUUGAGACGGAGUUUCCCUUUUGUUACCCAGGCUGGAGUGCAAUGGCCUGAUCUCGGCUCACCGCAACCUCUGCCUCCUGGGCUCAAGCAAUUCUCCUGCCUCAGCCUCCCGAGUAGCUGGGACUACAGGCACACGCCACCAUGCCCAGCUAAUUUUUGUAUUUUUAGUAGAGACGGGGUUUCACCAUGUUGACCAGGAUGGUCUUGAUCUCUUGACCUUGUGAUCCACCCGCCUCGGCCUCCCAAAGUGCUGGGAUUAUAGGCGUGAGCCGCCGAGCCUGGCCUGCUCUUUAAAUAUGCAAAGCUCAAGUUCAACUUGGUGUGCUUUAAGAAAAAAGUUUUGUAAUAUAUGUAAUAAGAACAUUUUCUGGCUGUAAGACCAAAAAUGUGACAAUGUACCUGCUUUUCCUAUAGCCCAGACAAGUAAAAGAGGUAGCAUUCUCAGCAAACUGACACAAGAACAGAAAAUGAAAUACCACAUAUUCUCACUCAUAGGCGGGUGAGGAAAAAUGAGAACACAUGGACACAGGAUGUUCUCAUCUAUGCUUAUGGUGAUGCUGGCUCCACCCAUGAGGUCUCAUAUAUUCAUCAGUUCCUGCUCCAUAGACUCCUUGAAGUUGUCUUCAGACCCUUCUGUUAUGAAGAUUCUGUCCUCAGAUUGUCUACAGUUUUUGAAAUUGAUGCUGCAACAGUUAAGGUUGGGAGGCUGGUUGUGCUGUGGACCUGUUCUGCUUUUCCAAACACUCCCUGGUACUUAAUUUAAAAUGCAGUCUUAUCUUCCAAUCUCACCUUAAACUAUUGUUUAAGGCCAAUAUUUUCUAUCAAACAGCUGCACUAAAAACCCUCCUAAGAGAGGCCUUCUGUGUUUAAUAUUGGAUUAAGCAGGGCUUCUGGAUCUUUACUUGCAUCUCUAGAGCAUAGUGGAGCUAAAUGUGCAAGGAUUAUUUGAGAGUCUCAAGUUGGUGUGAAAAUAUCAGGUUCAAGCAAGGCAGCUGCUUCAGGCUGUGUGAAGCUCUUUUAGAUUGCUGCCACUAUGAAGAUGUCUCAUUAGAAGAUUCCCGUACCCAGGAGAUGUCAUGAGACCAUCAUGCAGGAGGUGAGUGGCAAAUAACUUCAAAUAAGCAGAACUCUGUUGCCCAAGUUCUGUGCCCAUUGGACAAGCAGUUCCAUGUGAGGAGGUGUUUUAUUUACAGUACAAAACCACACAUGACUCCAGCAGCUCAUCCAGGAACCCCAAAUAUCGCCAGCAAGAUCAAAACUCAUGAAUUCAGCCUGGGGUUUCCUUCUCUAAAAAGCAGGUAGAGGCAUCAAAGCUAGAGCUCAGAAAUUUUUUUCGCAGACAUUCCCAUAAGCCUAGCAAGAUUGAAAAGAGAUAGAGGAAGCCUAAGCUAAAAUAUUUAAAAUAAUCUGAAGAAAAAAAAAAUUUACAGAGAAAAAGAGUCAUGUCCAAAAACUGUUUCAUUUUUGGAAAAGACAACAACAACAAAAAUUAUAAAACAUAUUAAAGUAAUCCCAAGGAAAUAAAAGAGGUGACUUAUAAAAUAUAAGAGGAGAAACAGGUUAAUGAAAAAACAGCACAAACAGUAGAAUUGAUAAAACAUUCUGUUCUUUAAAUAAACUAAUGAAAUAAAGAGGCCU